AGUGGGAUAACUGGGUCAAAUGGUGAUUCCACUGCAAUCUGAGGAAUUUCCAUACUGCUUUCCUGAAUGGUUGUACCAAUUUGCAGUCCCACCAGCAAU
rnacentral:pre_miRNA from 1 species